rnacentral:rRNA from 1 species
UACAGAGGGUGCGAGCGUUAAUCGGAAUUACUGGGCGUAAAGCGCACGUAGGUGGCGACGUAAGUCGGGUGUGAAAGCCCCGGGCUCAACCUGGGAAUUGCAUUCGAGACUGCAUUGCUGGAGUACGGAAGAGGAAGGCGGAAUUCCCGGUGUAGCGGUGAAAUGCGUAGAGAUCAGGGGGAACACCCGUGGCGAAGGCGGCCGGCUGGGCCGACCCUGACGCUGAGGCGCGAAGGCGUGGGGAGCGAACGGG